AGGAUGAACGUUGGCGGCGUGCCUAAUACAUGCAAGUCGAACGAAGACUGUAGUAAUACUGUCUUAGUGGCGAACGGGUGAGUAACGCGUGGGUGACCUGCCCCGAAGUGUGGGAUAACAGUACCGAAAGGAUUGCUAAUACUGCAUAAUAUCCAAGAGAUUAGAUGCUUUUGGAUUAAAGGAGUAAUUCGCUUCGGGAGGGGCCCGCGUCCCAUCAGCUAGUUGGUAAGGUAAUGGCUUACCAAGGCGAUGACGGGUAGGGACCUGAGAGGGUCGGCCCCCCACAAUGGAACUGAAACACGGUCCAUACACCUACGGGUGGCAGCAGUAGGGAAUAUUAGUAAUGGGCGAAAGCCUGAACUAGCAACGCCGCGUGUGCGAAGAAGGCCUUCGGGUCGUAAAGCACUUUUGAGAGGAUGAGGAAGGACGGUACUCUCAGAAUAAGUCUCGGCUAACUACGUG
rnacentral:rRNA from 1 species